UGUUUCGGCUAGGGGGUCAUCCCGACUUACCAACCCGAUGCAAACUGCGAAUACCGAAGAAUGUUAUCACGGGAGACACACGGCGGGUGCUAACGUCCGUCGUGAAGAGGGAAACAACCCAGACCGCCAGCUAAGGUCCCAAAGUCAUGGUUAAGUGGGAAACGAUGUGGGAAGGCACAGACAGCCAGGAUGUUGGCUUAGAAGCAGCCAUCAUUUAAAGAAAGCGUAAUAGCUCACUGGUCGAGUCGGCCUGCGCGGAAGAUGUAACGGGGCUAAACCAUGCACCGAAGCUGCGGCAGCGACACUAUGUGUUGUUGGGUAGGGGAGCGUUCUGUAAGCCGUUGAAGGUGUCCUGUGAGGGAUGCUGGAGGUAUCAGAAGUGCGAAUGCUGACAUAAGUAACGAUAAUGCGGGUGAAAAACCCGCACGCCGGAAGACCAAGGGUUCCUGUCCAACGUUAAUCGGGGCAGGGUGAGUCGACCCCUAAGGCGAGGCCGAAAGGCGUAGUCGAUGGGAAACAGGUUAAUAUUCCUGUACUUGGUGUUACUGCGAAGGGGGGACGGAGAAGGCUAUGUUGGCCGGGC
rnacentral:rRNA from 1 species